rnacentral:rRNA from 1 species
AACGAACGCUGGCGGCAUGCCUAACACAUGCAAGUCGAACGAGACCUUCGGGUCUAGUGGCGCACGGGUGCGUAACGCGUGGGAACCUGCCCUUAGGUUCGGAAUAACUCCCCGAAAGGGGUGCUAAUACCGGAUAAUGUCUUCGGACCAAAGAUUUAUCGCCUUUGGAUGGGCCCGCGUUGGAUUAGCUAGUUGGUAGGGUAAAAGCCUACCAAGGCGACGAUCCAUAGCUGGUCUGAGAGGAUGAUCAGCCACACUGGGACUGAGACACGGCCCAGACUCCUACGGGAGGCAGCAGUGGCGAAUAUUGGACUAUGGGCGAAAGCCUGAUCCAGCACUGCCGCGUGAGUGAUGAAGGCCUUAGGGUUGUAAAGCUCUUUUACCCGGGAUGAUAAUGACAGUACCGGGAGAAUAAGCUCCGGCUAACUCCGUG